AGUUACACGGUUAAACAGUACUUUCAUUGCAACGGCUAAAAAUCAAGAGAAGACUCGGUCCUGCUAGCCCCAAUGUUGAGACGCUGUGUGAGGUGCAGGACAAAAUGUCUAAAAGUUGCCCGGAGCUGCUGAGAGAAGCAGCGAAUUUGAUUGAGGAAGCUCUGAGCAGAAGUCCAACGGCUCCCGCGGCACCGGUGACUCCGGCAGCUCAGUCACAGCAGAUACCGGCCGCUCAAUCACGUACACCUGUCCAAGCGGAGGUAGCAAGGCUCUUUGCGCCAUAUAACAUUGGAGCCAGAAGGAAUAUGACGAGACGACCAGCACAAGUCCAAGUUAGCCGAAGAAGCUACACACACACUGUCUGUUGUUUGGCUGACCACAAUGCGGAUAAAAUUCCAAGCGUACUGUUUAAAGCUGAACUUCUUACUUCAGGACUUGGAGAGCAAAAAGUAACAUUUUCAGGAGAGCUCACGUCCUGCCUCUGGUCCAGUCAUCCCCUGCAUCACUUGUCAGAAGGAAGUUCCCUUUUCAGAGAUGAAGCUGCACAGAUUGAGCUGCAAUGGGACACCCAUGCAGGAAUCAGAAAGAGAACAAGAGGGAGGCCAAAGUGAAGAAAAUGAUAGUGAGACAGCCCUAGUCAGUGACAGUGUUCCAGUGAGGCCUGAAACAUCAGCUGAGAGUGCAGUAGUACCGGCAGUGAUUGUCAACGAGGAGUUGGAUCGCAAAGAAACAGACAGUGGUUUGUGUCAUCACAAUAGUGUUGCUAUAAGAUUGUGUGUAACUGAAAAGUUAAUAGAAAGAUAACACCUGUAGGAUAUAAUUAGAUAAGAUAAUACAGUUACAGACAAUAACAUGCAACUGGGUUUUUCUAUUUUUCUAAUAUUUAGUUGUAGUUGUUUAGUAGUGCUGUUUUUAUGUCAACUCAGCGUUGUGACAGGUUCUGAAGAUGUUGGGUCUCACGUUUUGUCAGUGAAAUGAACAGAAUUUUCCUCCUGUUCUGUAGAGUGAGAGGAUAUCUGUAUAUGCAGGUAACAUGCCAACUCACAAUAUGUCUCUCUGUAAUAGAUAACUUUAUUGUUGUUGUUUGU